GGGUGCAAGCGUUAAAUCGGAAAUAACUGGGGCGUAAAAGCCGCCACGCAGGGCGGUUUGUUAAGUCAGAUGUGAAAUCCCCGGGCUCCAACCUGGGAAACUGCAUCUGAUACUGGCAAGCUUGAGUCUCGUAGAGGGGGGGUAGAAUUCCAGGUGUAGCGGUGAAAUGCGUAGAGAUCUGGAGGAAUACCGGUGGCGAAGGCGGCCCCCUGGACGAAGACUGACGCUCAGGUGCGAAAGCGUGGGGAGCAAAACAGGAUUAGAUACCCUGGUAGUCCACGCCGUAAACGAUGUCGACUUGGAGGUUGUGCCCUUGAGGCGUGGCUUCCGGAGCUAACGCGUUAAGUCGACCGCCUGGGGAGUACGGCCGCAAGGUUAAAACUCAAAUGAAUUGACGGGGGCCCGCACAAGCGGUGGAGCAUGUGGUUUAAUUCGAUGCAACGCGAAGAACCUUACCUGGUCUUGACAUCCACAGAACUUUCCAGAGAUGGAUUGGUGCCUUCGGGAACUGUGAGACAGGUGCUGCAUGGCUGUCGUCAGCUCGUGUUGUGAAAUGUUGGGUUAAGUCCCGCAACGAGCGCAACCCUUAUCCUUUGUUGCCAGCGGUCCGGCCGGGAACUCAAAGGAGACUGCCAGUGAUAAACUGGAGGAAGGUGGGGAUGACGUCAAGUCAUCAUGGCCCUUACGACCAGGGCUACACACGUGCUACAAUGGCGCAUACAAAGAGAAGCGACCUCGCGAGAGCAAGCGGACCUCAUAAAGUGCGUCGUAGUCCGGAUUGGAGUCUGCAACUCGACUCCAUGAAGUCGGAAUCGCUAGUAAUCGUGGAUCAGAAUGCCACGGUGAAUACGUUCCCGGGCCUUGUCACACCGCCCGUCACACCAUGGGAGUGGGUUGCAAAAUUAAGUAGGUAGCUUAACCUCGGAGG
rnacentral:rRNA from 1 species